rnacentral:lncRNA from 1 species
UGAGCCCCUUGAGGCGUUUAUCCAGCACUGUUUCGGACAAAUCUCUAUUUCAAUCUAUUCCUAUAUGUUAGUUAUUGAAAAACAAUAGACAAUCACAAAAACAAGUUGACAUUUUUGUGUUCCUUAAGCCUAGUCAUGAAGGGCCCUCGUGACUGGGCCUCAUGCCAAACAACUUGUUACAAAAAGAGCUAGGGUCGCAGACUGCGCCGAAGCUUCAUGAGACUGAUCCUCGUCUGUGGACAGAGGAGUAGCUGACUCUGAAGCCCAGGCUGUUGCUAUCCAGUCUGGUGGUGAAUCCUCCACAGUCUGUUUAGAGCAAUUGGACGAAGUAUAUUUUUGUGAGCAAAUUUACCUUUCUCUCUGAAUUCUCCAAAAUUCAGAAACCCCUUCCUAUAUGUUAUGGGUUGAAUUUUGUCCACUCCAAAAUAUGUUGAUGUCUUAACCUCCAGUACACAAAUUGUGAUCCUAUUUAUAAAUAAAGACAUCAUCAAUGUAAUUAGUGAAGAUGAGAUCAUACUGAAGAAUGAUGGAUCCCUAAUCCAAUAUGACUUGUGUCCCUGUAAGAAGAGAGAAAUUUGGACAGAGACACUUGAGAGGAGAAUGUCAUGAAACUAAAGAAGAAGAAAUUGAAGUGCUAUUGCUGCAAGUCAAAAAACAUCAACAAUUGGCAAAUACCACAAGAAACUAGUAGAGGAAAAUAUGUAUUCUUUCCUACAGGUUUCAGAGAGAGCAUGGACCUACCUACACCUUGAAUGUUGACUUCGUCAUUGCAGAACUGUGAGCGAACAACUCUGUUGUUUUCAGCAACCCAGUUUGUGGUACUUUGCUCUGGCAUCCCUAUGGAGCUAAUGCACUGAUAUCAUAUAGCUGGGUCAUUUUGUUUUAUCCACUGUACUAAUCUCUAUCUUUUAAAUAAUGUAUUUAGACCAUUUAUAUUUAGUGUAUU